UCUCCGGGUGGCGAGUGGCGGACGGGUGAGGAAUACAUCGGAAUCUACUUUUUCGUGGGGGAUAACGUAGGGAAACUUACGCUAAUACCGCAUACGACCUACGGGUGAAAGCAGGGGAUCUUCGGACCUUGCGCGAUUGAAUGAGCCGAUGUCGGAUUAGCUAGUUGGCGGGGUAAAGGCCCACCAAGGCGACGAUCCGUAGCUGGUCUGAGAGGAUGAUCAGCCACACUGGAACUGAGACACGGUCCAGACUCCUACGGGAGGCAGCAGUGGGGAAUAUUGGACAAUGGGCGCAAGCCUGAUCCAGCCAUACCGCGUGGGUGAAGAAGGCCUUCGGGUUGUAAAGCCCUUUUGUUGGGAAAGAAAUCCAGCUGGUUAAUACCCGGUUGGGAUGACGGUACCCAAAGAAUAAGCACCGGCUAACUUCGUGCCAGCAGCCGCGGUAAUACGAAGGGUGCAAGCGUUACUCGGAAUUACUGGGCGUAAAGCGUGCGUAGGUGGUCGUUUAAGUCCGUUGUGAAAGCCCUGGGCUCAACCUGGGAACUGCAGUGGAUACUGGGCGACUAGAGUGUGGUAGAGGGUAGCGGAAUUCCUGGUGUAGCAGUGAAAUGCGUAGAGAUCAGGAGGAACAUCCAUGGCGAAGGCAGCUACCUGGACCAACACUGACACUGAGGCACGAAAGCGUGGGGAGCAAACAGGAUUAGAUAUCCUGGUAGUCCACGCCCUAAACGAUGCGAACUGGAUGUUGGGUGCAAUUUGG
rnacentral:rRNA from 1 species